GUUAAACCUAGUGUCACUCCAGUUGUCAUACCCAGAUGGUCCUUCGACCCCUGGACCUUUAAAAAAUCGGCUUUUAUCUCUUAUUUCAACAGAUGUCUCUCACACUGCAGCAGUCAGUCUUUUCUUCAAGCUGAGUUGGACCGAAUUUUUACCAUUGGCCGUAAACAUGGAUACUCUAACAAAUUUAUGCGGCGCCUUUUUCAUAAGGUCAAGAAUGAUUACUCUAAGCAACUGUUUCCCUCGGAACAACCUGGCCCUUCCUCCCAAGUAGAGCCUGCUCCUGCCUCACAAUAUCGGCUCCCAAUACCGUACAGACUCCACUCCAACCCUGCUAUUAGAUCCACCUUAAGUCAGCAAAUAAAGCCAGUACCUUCAGAAGAGCUCCCAC
rnacentral:lncRNA from 1 species